UGAUUGUCGGGCGGAUAUGGACCGUCCAAAUCUAAAGUAUGCACCGCCACUGACCACGCGCCCCAAAUACCAAAACUACCCUACACUUUUGCUGCAAAUUACAGCCCACCCACCAUAUACACCUCCUCACCAUUCCUCUACACAUCAGGGGCAUUCUCGUCAUUUCAGGUUCCACGGCUACGCUACUCACCGGAGUUCCCAAUUUGUUCCCCCAAUCUCCUCUCUCGUGCGCCUCCGCUUCGUUCCUUUCUCUCUCUAAACUCUCCCCAAAUCUCUCUCUCUCUCUCUAAUCCCCUUUCUAUUUAUCGAAUAGUUUCGAUUUUGCAAGGGAAAUUUUGUGUCUUGGCGAAAAUUUCCACAUUGGGCUUCUUCGUUCUGCAAAUCACUCAACUGGGUUUUUCGCAAAUCGACGAAAUUUUCGACCUUGCUCCGCGAUCACCCUUGUAUCUCACUUGUGUAUGAUUCAGCACCUUUCAGCUAGUUCAAGUUGAAGCUCAUGGAUGGUAUCAACAGAUAUGAAGAAGACGAAGUUAGUGUAAUGGGCUUUGAAAAUCCGAGAUCUCCUAUAUCGAGCUACAACAACUCGGAAAAUUAUGUCGAAGAUGAAGACAGAGAACCGCCGCAAGUCCCUCCUCACCUGCAGCAUACAUUGUUGGGCUUUCCUGCUAGCCAAGAUGCGUUGGGCACUCUCCCUUUGCCCCAGAAAACUAAUCUCAACCAUCUCUACAUUGAGAACCGGGAAGGCCCGAGAAUGGUGGUGGCUCUCGGGAAUACUCAGCGGUUCCGGUCGAAGUACGUUACCGUCGUGAUCUAUAAGCCAGUGAGAAGAAAAUGAACCCGAUUUAUAUUGCUCUUUUCCAUUUGUUCAUUUGGAUGAGAUUAUAACCCUGGUGAAUCUGACCUUUAGUCGUUGGCGAUCGGCUAUUUGCGGCAUUCACAUCUAUUUUGUUUCUAUUGGUAGGUCGCAUGGUGUACUGCUAUUGAUAUACAAUGGAUUGUGAAAUUUCUUUAUA